AUACUACUCCUUCCAUGCCAGAAAAGCUUUUUUUAGAUUUGUCUAGUUAAGGAUGUAUCUAGAAACGUUUUAUAGUCAGAUACAUUCAUAUCUAGAUAAAUGUAAGAUAAGCUUUUUGGGACGGAGGUAAUAUAUA
rnacentral:pre_miRNA from 1 species